rnacentral:rRNA from 1 species
GAUGAACGCUGGCGGCGUGCCUAAUACAUGCAAGUCGAGCGAACAGACGAGGAGCUUGCUCCUCUGACGUUAGCGGCGGACGGGUGAGUAACACGUGGAUAACCUACCUAUAAGACUGGGAUAACUUCGGGAAACCGGAGCUAAUACCGGAUAACAUGUUGAACCGCAUGGUUCAACAGUGAAAGACGGUCUUGCUGUCACUUAUAGAUGGAUCCGCGCCGCAUUAGCUAGUUGGUAAGGUAACGGCUUACCAAGGCAACGAUGCGUAGCCGACCUGAGAGGGUGAUCGGCCACACUGGAACUGAGACACGGUCCAGGCUCCUACGGGAGGCAGCAGUAGGGAAUCCUCCGCAAUGGGCGAAAGCCUGACGGAGCAACGCCGCGUGAGUGAAGAAGGUCUUCGGAUCGUAAAACUCUGUUAUUAGGGAAGAACAAAUGUGUAAGUAACUAUGCACGUCUUGACGGUACCUAAUCAGAAAGCCACGGCUAACUACGUG